UGGGGAACUGGCAGGUGAUUCCAUCCCGCUUUUGUCGGGAUGAGAGGUCGGGAGGUGAUUCCAUCCCGCUUUUCCCGG